rnacentral:rRNA from 1 species
AUGGAUGUGGUGCUGCAGAGUCGUAGCAGCAACAGCAUGGCGGCGGAGCCGGAGGAGGAGGCGGAGCUCCGGCGGGGGCCGUGGACGGUGGACGAGGACCUUACGCUGAUCAACUACAUCGCGGACCACGGCGAGGGCCGCUGGAACGCGCUGGCGAGGGCCGCCGGCCUGAGGCGCACGGGGAAGAGCUGCCGGCUGCGGUGGCUGAACUACCUCCGCCCCGACGUGAAGCGCGGCAACUUCACCGCCGACGAGCAGCUCCUCAUCCUCGACCUACACUCUCGCUGGGGCAACCGGUGGUCGAAGAUCGCGCAGCACCUCCCCGGUCGGACGGACAACGAGAUCAAGAACUACUGGAGGACCAGGGUGCAGAAGCACGCGAAGCAACUCAACUGCGACGUCGGCAGCGCCACCUUCAAGGAUGCCAUGAGGUAUCUCUGGAUGCCUCGCCUCGUCGAGCGCAUCCACGCCACCGCCGCCCCCACCGGCGGUGACCCCACAAUCGGCGACACCUCGUGCGCGUCAGGGGUCACGUCGAUGGCCACCACCGCCGCCACCGCCACCACAUAUCCCGAGAACAACUCUCCCUCCAGCGCGGUCACCACCAGCAGGUCGGCAUCGUCGGGUUCCUUCACGUCGGAGCUCUGCGGCGAGGAGAAGAACCUGCAUGUCCAUGGCAGCGGCGAGAAGACAACGAGCGGCGGGGACUGGAUGCAGGACGCGGACCAAGAGUUCUGGGCCAUGCAUAUGCAGAUCCAGCCUGAUGAGGGUGGUCUUUUCCACGUCGACCACGAGCUUAGCGGAUGGGUGCAGGGCUUCUCCGACGUCGGCGUUUCGGCUGACAAUCUCUGGAGCCUCGAGGACAUAUGGAAGAUGCAAUGA